GCCCUCGUGGUGUAAUUGGAACCACGCUCGGCUAGCAAUCAGGAGGGUCGAGUUCGAAUCUCAGAGAGGGCG
rnacentral:tRNA from 1 species